CAGCAGCCACGGUAAAACGGAGGGUGCGAGCGUUGUCCGGAUUUAUUGGGUUUAAAGGGUGCGUAGGUGGCUUUUUAAGUCAGUGGUGAAAUACAGCCGCUCAACGGUUGAGGUGCCAUUGAUACUGAAGAGCUUGAAACAAGUGGAGGCUGCCGGAAUGGAUGGUGUAGCGGUGAAAUGCAUAGAUAUCAUCCAGAACACCGAUUGCGAAGGCAGGUGGCUACGUUUGAUUUGACACUGAGGCACGAAAGCAUGGGGAGCAAACAGGAUUAGAUACCCCAGUAGUCCCUGUCUCUUAUAC
rnacentral:rRNA from 1 species